AUGGACAUACGCCUAGACUGAAGGUCUCCCAAAGAAGGAUCCCAAAGCUCCAUACAUCACUUUCAGAAGUGUAUCUCCCUGAGGAAGGAGAGAAAGUGGAUAAUAUAAAUUCAAAGAAUAUUUCUGAGAUGUACUGUAUGCUGCCCUGAACCAUUGAUGAACUGAGGUCUCCUUCUCCAUUCUCCUGUCCAGCAAACUUUGAAAGAAAAUAAAUUUAAAAGCCCCUGUCUUAAUCGGAUGAAAAGCAGGCCCUGUGGAUAAGAGCGAUGAUGCUAGAUGGAGAAGUGAAGACCAUCUCUGUCACAGCUGUGCAGAGAGGCACAGGAGUGCCAGGGCCAGUUAGAGCAGGGCCGAGAGGACAGGCAAUCACAAGGAUAAUAAUGCCAGAGAAGCAAACUGUGGAGCUGCAAGUAUGUCAGAAGCAGCAGAGCAAGAAAGUUGCAGUGCACAGGACCUGCUCCCCUACACAAAGCCCCUGCAGCAACAGCGUUUUCAUGUGGACUAGGACCAUCCAUAGCAGUAGCAGCUGUAUGUAAAUCAUUGUACUCUCCAAUAUUUGUAAACAUGGCAAAAAUGUAGGGGUUGCUUUAUGUGUAUCUAAACAGUUAUUUUCAUGUUCUUUUGAUGAAAUUUUCAUCACUCCCAUUUCAAUCUAUAAUGUGGUUUUCUUUGUUUAUAUAUACACAUAGUG